GCCACAGGAAACAUGUUUAUGUCGGAUAAUCGAGUUUAAUUGUUUAAGGUUCCAUAAAGAGUCUAACAGAAGGUGGACUAUUUCAGAUCUCGACAUUCCGCGGACAUCAAGACGCGCUGUUAAAUUCGGUGACACGAAUCAUGAUUGUUCCUUGUAACCGAGACACUUUGACUUUUGGUUGAACGCUAUUCUGACAGAAAAAGAGAGGGUGCAAGAAUAGCUUCAGUCCUGGCCAAGAUGGAAGGUGAUGCAAGACACUCAAGAACGACAUGGUACACUGGAACAGUGACGGUACUUGAUAUGGAGCAGAGACUCUCCUAUAUCAAUGAAGAAGACUGUGAAUGGGAUUUUCUCCACCUUGCAUAAGAUGAUAGCUGCAUGAAGGAGGGGGUAUGUUUUCUAAAGAGGAGGAUUCUGGAAACUGCUCUGUUAGUCUUGGAAUACAAAACCGUCAACCUGGAAACGGUUUUAAGGAGGAUAUGAUGUCAGAGAAUAACUCUAAUUUACAGACCUGUCCAGCAGUUCAAAUCCAGAUGGUUUAUACAAGACCAGGGCAGCAGUUGUGCCGGAGCAUAUCCCAGCUAGGAUAAGGAACAAGGCAGGAGGAAACCCUGGACAGGUACCCACACCAAGAACAGAACAAACGGACGCAACAGCCGAGUUAGCAUUGCCAAUUCACCGAAACUGCAUGUCUUUGGACUGUGAGAGGAAAUCUACACAGAUGUGGGGAGAACAUGCAAACUCUACACAGGAAGGACGCCAUUCACAAACCUCAUUCUACUUACUAUGAGGCGGCAGCAGCACUACCACUGCUCCAUUGUGAUGUUGGAAUAAACAUACAACUGUAAUAAAGGUUACUAAAAGUCAGAAAGAAGCACCAACUUCCUGGGGGUGCACAUCAUGGAUACAAACACCACUUCCCUUUUCAAGAAAGCAGAGCAGCACCUUCACUUUCUGUGACGGAUGAGGGAGAGAAAUCCCAAUAAAACUCCCAAGUCCUCACAGCAUUGUCCAGAGACACUAUAGAGAGUAUCCUGACCAGCAGCCUCACAGUCUGGUAUGGCAGCUGCUCUGUUUCAGAUCAGAAGUCCCCCCAGGGAGUGGUGAAGACGGCAGAAGAAAUCAUCAGAACCACCGUCCCGUCUGUACAAGAUUUGAACUUGUCACGCUGCCUUAGGACAGCUACUUCGAUGGUCAGAGACCCCAUGCAUCCAGCCCAUACAUUGUUCGGCCAGACUCGAUAGGAGUAUCUUCACACAGGCCAUCAGACUAAUAAACUCCCACCAACAACAAGAAACAUGCUGACCUAUUGGAUUCCUGAACACACACAACAGACUGUUUCAACACAUAUAUUCGGAAUCUUGUAUCUCCUAAAAUGCUCUUAUGUCCAUGCAUUAUGUUAAUGUUUUUCGACACUUGAACACAUUACAACUAUUCACCAAUGUGUCUAUUGGAUUAUCAAUAUAUUCUGUCUGUUUAUGCUGUCUGUCAUGUCUGUCUGUUGUUGUAUAACGUGCACUUCUCUCUUGUUUGUGUUUGUACACUGAGCUUGGAACAAUACAAUGUCAUAUAAUCCUU